ACAACUUGGGAAACUUCGGACCGUACCAUCCCGAGGGGGCAAGGGUGGGGGAGGCCAGGAGAGGGCAGUGGAAAUUGACAUCUUCGUUCUCAACAAGCCGUGAGUAAACUGAGGAUUUCCCGGCUGAAAGGACUCAGUGUCUGCCUGUCCCCGGCCCAGAAAUGAAAGCGAGUUUCAGCCGAUCCUCAUUGUGGGGCCUGCUGAAAAAGCAGCCCGGGUCGCCCCGGCCAGCCCCGGCGUCCUGAAUCGGAGCCCUGUGCGCGCCAGGCCGGGCCGCGCGCCCGGGUUGCAGGAUGGCGUGCCCAGGCCAGCCCAUCUGCGGCCGCGGGCCGGCGGGGAGGAAGCGUCCCUGGGGAUGAAUGGGGCUUUGUUCGUAGGCAGCCGCGGCUACCCUCUGCAGGCCCGGCCCGCACAACAGAGGCUGUAUGCGAGAGGAAUGGAAAUGAGCCUCAGGCCCUGCCGAAGGAGCCCCAUCCCCUUCCCCGCGCGGGGCUGAGGAAUGCUGGCCAGCCGGAAAGGAACCCUCGCUGGGAACGCCGCUCUCGCGCCUCUGAAACCCCAUUGAGAAGAACCCUUUGAUGCAAUUAAAGCGCAUUUCAUUGCAGGCCUGGGAGGAGGGAACGACCGGCAAGCUUUUUUCUGUCUCGGACGUGUGUAUGCACCUUUGUGGGCCGGGUUACUUAGAGACCAGGCGGGAACUUGAGCUCCCUCCCUCGCAGACGUUCUGUAACAUCAGAAAAGCGUACCCAUAAACAGAUUGGUUUUCACCAGGGGUGGAACCCAGUUUGGACACGAUCCAGGCUGACCUGCAGGCCGGGGUUCCUACUUUGAAAGGCUCUUUGGUGCGCCUUACACCCACCUUCCCUGCUGUAAAGGUUUAGGCGGAAAAGAAAUUGCGUUUGCAGGAGGAAGUUGUUUCUGAGGUUACUGCUCAGCAUUUUCCAUUUUCUCAGUGGUGGGGUGGGCCGUGUCGCAUAUCCAGAAGUGAUGUCACAGCCAGACCUGCAAAAUGAUGUAACCUGCAAGUGUUGAAGGACGACGAUGGGACAGCUAUUUUGAUACUCGUAUUAUUUUAUAACAUUUCCCUGCUUUUUCCGUUGAGACAACUGUGUGACCUCAGAAAAUCCACAUAGCCUCUCUGAACUUAGUAUUUUUUUGUGUGUUAAAAUGAGUAUCACAAAGCCGGAGAACGAAUGUGAUGAAGUUCUGGGUGCUUGUGGAAUUCUUUCUAAGUUGGAGGUGGACACUUUAUCUACCUGCACAGGUGGAAGAUAUGUGGGUCUGGAACUCCGUGUAUGCCUCCUUGAGAACAUGAACCUUUAAACAACAACAACAACACCACCACCACCACCACCACCACCAAGACAAAGUCCUGUCUGCUCUCCCAGGCUAGAGUGCAGCGUGCAAUCGUGCAAUCGCAGCCUACAGUAAGAAGGGAGAGCAAGACGGCCAAAUAGAAGCCUCCAGCAAUUAUACACCCCCCCACAGGAACAACAAAUUAAGCAAUACAAGAAAAGCACCUUCAUGAAGUUGAAAACUGAGGAAUGACCAAGGCAAAACCUCCAUCUACUUGCAACAGAAUGGAGAUGCAGAUGCAGAUGAUGAAUUAAAGGGACUCAAGGAAGGUCACUAUUCUGCCUUGAAUUUGUUUUCAUGGUUCUCUGAGAAGUGUCUAGAGCUCCUGCUCCUGCUCCUGCUGCCCUCAGGCUUGGGAGGGAGCAAAAAGACUAAGGACUAAGGACUAAGGAGGACCUCCAGCACAGCACCGCUGCAUUAUGGAAAAGCAACAAGACGGUGUUCCAGAACCUUCAAAGGAGUGUGGAAAGUGUCUGGAAGGAAAGGUGUGCACCUUGGAGCUCUCCUUGGAGUGUAUCAUUGAGCUGUUUGCGUUUGGGUGGUGAGUCUUUGGAAGGAGCUUGACCUUGGAGCAGAGGGCGGAGUAGGGCUGAGUAUUUGAAUGGAAGAAGAAGUGCACCUUGAGUCUGGCACUGAGAUUCUAAGCAUGGGACACUAUUAUCUGCACUUAGCACUGAAGAAUGAAAUCCACCUGCCUCAGCAAACCACAUAGGGUGAACAAGAUCUCGAAUUACAUAGAAGGACAGAGGAGGGAAGGCCCGACACCUGACACUUGGAGAGCUUAAGCCUCAGAAUAAAAAAUUGCCAUGAAUUUGAAUGAAGAUAAGAGAAGAGGACAGUGAGAGAUGUUCCAAUGAUGGCAACACGAUGUUCCACGAUAAAACUGACACAAAAAACAAUGCAAAAUUUGUCUAAGAGAGGUUUAGCAAGCAUGAGAAAAACAUCUGAUAUCUCUCAGAGCCCGCCAAGUUCGCAGCUUACAGUGCCAGAGUAAUUAUGGGAUGAUUUGAACAGAGGCAAUGCAUGAGGAAGCCACUUCCAAAUGUAUCAG